GCAGACUGGAUUUUUGCCUGACUACGGUGCUCAGCCUUCUAGACAAUAGUUAUGCUAAGGGAUUAUCUUUUAACAUUGUGCAGUUAUCUCCUUUGUUUGUUUUCUUUUUUCAUUAUUCACAUAAGCCAAGGGAAAUGAAAAGCAUCUUAUUUCAGGCAAAAAGGCCUGUGAAUGAUUAACUCUGGUUCCAUGCGUUGGGACUUUGCAUAGCAACCCCGUGGCUUGCAACGACAAAAAAGCUCAAGGCAGGAACAGCAGCCCAGGGACCUGAGACCAGCGUUCUCAAAUGAAGGUGCCAGAUCUGCUGUUAGAGGAGAAUUCUUCUGUCCUAGCUGUGUCUCUGUGAUCUGUGGAUGAGGGUGGGAAAGCACCACUCAGUCAAUUGGGGUGUACAAAAUGGAGUUUGAGAAGGUCUCACAUCCAGGUUGUUUUGAAGCAAAGUCCAAGCAUUGUAUCACUUCAUCUGCAAAUAUUUCAAUAAGUACCCAAAAGGUCCAGAUUGACUGCAAGAACAAAUCAGCAAUCCUGAGAGGACCCACAGGCCCUCUGAAGGAAGCAGACUACUCCUGCAGGACCUGGGAGAUACCCUGAAUACUUGGUUGGACUGAGUCCCAUGAAGCCAGAUCACUUCUGACUGCAAGGAGCUUGGAAAAGCAAGUAUCUGGAUCUUUUACCAGCUAAAUUUGGAGAAUUAUUGAUCAAAUUUGGAUCUCUGUGUGCUGUCCUCCAAUUUAAUACUUUCUGUGUUGCUGUUUUAUUUUCUUUCUUCUGGAACCUGGCAAAGUGCGUCAAGCGAUGAGGCUUCCUCUUUGAAGAUCACAGGUGAGAAGAUUAGGUGCUUUCUCAGAAGCCCAGCAACCUGAUGGGAGUGUGGAGUGAGCAAGACCCAAAUCGGAGCUUCAUCCCUGCAUGGUUCAUUUUGCUUAUUUGGCAAACUUGCCCUGCAGAAUCUACUCAAGCUUCCUCAGUUUCUCAAAUCAUUCUUGGGCAACAAAUGAACAAGAAAGAGGACGUCUUAUUAUCUGGUGUCUGGCUUGCUGAUUUAAUAACCUAGGAGACAGUGUUUGAAGAACACAAACUCUAAAGUCCUUCACUUAAAAAAAAAAAAAAACUUUCCCAAAUUGCUUACCAUUUGGAAAAAUUGCCUUACCUUCUUCAGUCAUCUCUGAUGUUGUCAUCCUCAGAGUAAGAAGUACGCAUUCAUAAGGAACCAUAACGUCCUUCAGGAAAUCCAGUACACCCUACAAUUUUACCUAAAACUUUGAUGUUGUUUUUUCUGAGCAUUUUACCUUCUAGGGAAAUGGAUCUCAUGCUGUUUAUCAGUUUCUGAAAGUUGUUAUUAAUCUCCCCUCAUCCCAAAAUUGAAGAACUUUGCUUAAAUCUUAGAAUCAGAACUUUGGCUCCAGUAAUAAAGACUUUUCAAUAUCUUUA
rnacentral:lncRNA from 1 species